rnacentral:rRNA from 1 species
UACGAAGGGGGCUAGCGUUGCUCGGAAUUACUGGGCGUAAAGCGCGCGUAGGCGGCUUUGUAAGUUAGAGGUGAAAGCCCGGAGCUCAACUCCGGAACUGCCUUUAAAACUGCAUCGCUUGAAUCCAGGAGAGGUGAGUGGAAUUCCGAGUGUAGAGGUGAAAUUCGUAGAUAUUCGGAAGAACACCAGUGGCGAAGGCGGCUCACUGGACUGGUAUUGACGCUGAGGUGCGAAAAGCGUGGGGGAGCAAUCCGG